UUUCUCAAAUCGCCCUCCAGAUAGCGUCCCGACCCAGAAUGCAUUUUGACAAGGUCUUUGAAAAAGCGGCGCGGCUAAUUCAAGAUGGCGGAGAUGGACCAGCUGUUAGACGAGAGCUCUUCAGCAGAGGCACUUGUCAGUCUUAAAGAAGGGAGUUUGUCCAACACUCUGAAUGAAAAGAACAGCUUUCCAAGAGCUCACAACACCAGGGGACGACAUUCCUCCCUCACAAUGGACACGCCCACACGGAGCUCAAAGAGAAGCCGUUUGUUUCGGGAGGAGGAUGAGCAGCCCCAGCAGCGUCUCCCCUCCAGAUCCCCUCGGAGGAGCCAAAGGGUCUCCACCACACCACAGAAAUUUUCUAAUGUGAUGACACCAGAUAAGAAGGCGUCCCAGAAAAUAGGGCUGAGAUUAAGAAACCUCCUUAAGCUACCCAAAGCUCACAAAUGGUGCAUCUAUGAAUGGUUCUAUUCCAAUAUAGACAGACCUCUCUUUGAGGGUGACAAUGAAUUCUGCCUGUGUCUGAAGGAGUCGUUCCCCAACCUGAAAACAAGAAAAUUGACAAGGGUUGAGUGGGGAACAAUCAGGAGACUGAUGGGGAAACCUCGACGGUGUUCGUCAGCAUUCUUUGCUGAGGAACGGACAGCGCUGAGGCAGAAGAGGCAGAAGAUGCGCCUGCUGCAGCAAAGAAAACUGUCUGACGUGUCAAACUGCAAAGACCUUCCAGAUGAAAUCCCUUUGCCACUCAUCAUAGGGACAAAAGUCACUGCCCGACUCCGAGGCGUUCAUGAUGGGUUGUUCACAGGGCAGAUCGAUGCAGUGGACACCAGUGCUGCCACCUAUCGUGUCACCUUUGACCGCAGUGGCCUGGGAACACACACUGUGCCUGACUAUGAAGUCCUGAGCAAUGAGCCCAAUGAGACCAUGCCCAUUUCAGCCUUUGCCCAGAAGCAUCGAGCAUCACGCUACAUGCAGAACCUCAUGACUCCACCUAGAGGGCCUUACCCAUCCGCUACCACUCCUGUCCUCAUGGACAAUGACCCUCUUAUCAACCAGUCACCAUGGAGGAACAAACUGCCCGGUGCUGAGGGAGAUACUCUGGGAGGAUUUCCUGUCAAAUUCCUUGUCCAAGUGACAAGGCUGUCCAAGAUCCUCAUGAUCAAGAAAGAGCACAUCAAGCACUUAAAAGAAAUGAACACAGAGGCAGAGAAACUGAAGUCGUAUUCGAUGCCUAUUGACCUAGACUUCCAGAAGCGAUAUGCUACCACAGUGCUUGAGCUUGAACAGCUCAAUAAAGAUCUCAACAAGGUGCUUCAUGAAGUUCAACAGUUCUGCUGUGAGCUUGCUCCAGAUCAGGGCAUGGUUCCAGCUGACCAUCCCACAGAUCUGCGGCGGCGUUGUGAAGAUGAGGCCCAGCAGAUGGUGCAGCUGAGCAACUCACUGAAGGACGGACAGCCGAGUGUGACAAACCCCAGCCUCACACAGCUCAUCUCCCGCCUCACGGCUCUGCUGCUACAGAUCAAGUGUCUGGCAGAUGGAGGAGACCUGAAUUCAUUUGAGUUUAAAUCUCUAACAGACUCCCUUAAUGACAUCAAGGCAUCUAUUGAUCCCUCCAACCUCAGGUAAAAAGACCCUGCAGUGUUUCUAACUACACUUCUUGGUCACACUACACGCGACGGUGGAUGGGAUGGUUCGAAUGGCAUACACGAUUGCUUCCAGAAUAAUGUCGAGAUCCACGUGGCACACAUCCAGAGCGGCCUUAGUCAGCUGGGCAAUCUGCACGCAUUUGCUGCCAACAACACCAAUGCAGUCUGAGUACCUGCAUCAUCUACACCACACACAGGUGCAUGCACACACAGGGGAGUGUCUUUUGAGAUGGUGCUUUCACCUGAACUGUUAAAAGACUGCAAAUAAAUCCCACGUGGAUGUUGUGGACCACCACCACCCAAUCUGAAUUUGGAUGUCCAUGUGAAACGACUCAGAGUUCUGCCCAGACUCCUGGAGCUUUGUGCUGACCGGAGGGAGGAUGUCCUAAGUAUUUUACCCACCCAUUUUAUUGUAUGAAAAUGUUGGUGCACCCAAUUGAACACAAACCUGAAAGAGUCUUAAACUAUUGCCACCAAUCCACAUCUCUAAACUCAACAAAUGGUUAUUUAUUGGUUUCAUGUGCCAAACAUUGAUUCUUACAGUUUUUAUAGUCCAUAUUUAUUUAUUUUUGAGUAGGUGUGUAUGGUUAUGAAACAAUAUUUUGCUAUUUCUAAAGUUUCCCCCUGUAAGUGUUGUGUUCUGUUGCUCCACUGAUGGUAAGCACGGGGAGGCUAAAGAAUGUUUUAUAAAAUUGUUUAUUGUAGAUAAUUGUACAAUAUCUCUGAUUAUUAGGACUAUUGUCAACAUUUCUGCUGUGUAUUUAGAAAUGGCUUUUGUAAUUUUGUGUGCACUGAAAAGAGAUUUUGGUAUUUUUAUAAAGGAGAACUCUGGGGUUUUGAUGUCUUUUACUCCCUAAGAUGAUCUUAGCAUUUCCAUAUUUGGCAUGGCUGUUGCUGCAACUCCCACACUAAGCCUGCAUCACAGAUGUAACCUCGAAAAAUUCAAGUCAGCAGUUUUUUCCUAGAGAAUCUCCUUUUUUCAGUUUUGUAAAGUUGUAUAUGAGAGUGCCUCAGGGCAAUUGUAUAUAAAUGUUUCUGUCUUUUUAUAUUAAACAUAAUAUUGCAACACA